rnacentral:rRNA from 1 species
GUGGGGAAUCUUGCGCAAUGGGCGAAAGCCUGACGCAGCCAUGCCGCGUGAAUGAUGAAGGUCUUAGGAUUGUAAAAUUCUUUCACCGGGGUCGAUAAUGACGGUACCCGGAGAAGAAGCUCCGGCUAACUUCGUGCCAGCAGCCGCGGUAAUACGAAGGGGGCUAGCGUUGCUCGGAAUUACUGGGCGUAAAGGGCGCGUAGGCGGACAGCUUAGUCAGAGGUGAAAGCCCAGGGCUCAACCUUGGAAUUGCCUUUGAUACUGGCUGUCUUGAGUUUGGGAGAGGUGAGUGGAACUCCGAGUGUAGAGGUGAAAUUCGUAGAUAUUCGGAAGAACACCAGUGGCGAAGGCGACUCACUGGCCCAAUACUGACGCUGAGGCGCGAAAGCGUGGGGAGCAAACAGGAUUAGAUACCCGUGUAGUCC